CUGACAGUUUGACUGCGAUCAACGAUCAUUGAUCGAGUUACAGCAUCGUGGUCGGAUCGAAGAAAUGGACACGUUAUCGGAUGAUCUACAUCAACAGACAAGUAGAAGUCUGGGAUCACAAAAUGGGAACUUGGGACGAGAUUCGCCGAAUGGAUCAUCUGUCUCUUCAUACGAACGAGAUCAUGCCAAAUGUGCAUUCAAACCUUGGGUGAUGAUUGCUCUUUUGGGCCUCCACUGCAUCGCGUCCUGGGCGAUAUCCAUUACGGGGAUCAUCUUGAUCUUCAAACCUUUCAGCGAAAAUAGCUCGUGCUAUAUGUUCUACCUGUUGAUAUACCUCCGAGCAGGUUACUGGCUCGGAACGUACAAACUGAAUGAGGAAAUGAAAGUUCCCUGCCGCAAGUUGAUCGAUGAAAACUACGAGCUGUACGAGGGUCUAACCACAUACCGAAAAGCCCCACUGCUGAUCGUCUCGCUCUGGAACACGGCGCUGUUCGUUGUCAUUGGAUAUGCUAAGAAUUUCUUUGAUCAAACCGGGUUAGGAAAUUCGGCAGGCUCCUGUAAGCAACCGUUCGACAGCGAUUUAUUGGGUACAUUACAAUCCCCGCAAACGGUGAUCGUGAUGUUCUGCGUUACUGAAAGCUUAGUGUUGAGCUGUUUCUACGCGGUUGCCGUUGCUCGAUUGAUCAAUGCGUCCGGUGGGAUAUGCGCUGUUCAGUACACCGAACUUCAAGACCAUUUGAAUGCGAAAUUACAACUGAGACAACAGGCAGAGACGAUCAAGCUACUACAGAAACAGCAAGCAGAACUCAAGAAACAAGCGACCUCGAUUGGGAUACUGGAAGAUAAGUAGUUUGUAACAUUUUGUAUACACAUAGUUUUUUUUUUGUUCAGCAUGCGUACGGAUACGUGUUUAGAGUAACAAAUAUAUGUUUAAAUAAGUGUA